UUCCGUUGCGUUCUCACAUCUUUCUCACAGUUCUCUCUUUUGCUGUUCUCGGGCUUACUAAAUCUCGCAUUCGAUUCCAACAAGUGCGAUCAAUCUUGCCCCUCAAUUCGCUUCAUAAUCCUUCUUUUUCCACGUCUCUGCGCCCAUUCGCCUGAACGAAAACCCGGAUACAUUGCUUCCUCUUAAAUCAAACCCUAAUUUUGUCCCCAAACGAAUUGGAACACAGUCAAACUCGAUUUCUAAAUCGAGUUGCGCCGAUUCUAGGGAUCUAAUCUGGCGUUUCCAGGUAUUAUAAAAAAUGUAUUAUCAAAGAUGUCCCAUCCUUGAGCGGAUACAAUGUUGGUUAUCAAAGAUGUCCCCUCCGAUUCAUGAAUCCCCAUAUGGAAGAGGACUUGGGCUGAUGCCCCAUCUAGCAUUAGCGAGGACCUCCUCAUAACCUCAGUGAAUAGGCAAGCUCAAUUCGGGCCAAAUUCUGUCAAAUUAGGCAGUAAUUAGCCAUUCGCUCCCAACCCUCCCUCCCGUGUGUUAUAGCAGUUUCAGAUCAAAGCUCCAUCCUCCUUGCUUCAUUUGUAAUACACACAGAGAAGGGCAGCAAAUGCUUUUAUACUUCUGCCAGAUUCUGUCCGUUGGGUGAUGAGUCCAUCAGGAUCGGUCGUAACUUUCCCUAAUGGAAUGGGCUUACCAGUUAUAUUUGACUCGAAGCCUUGCAGGUGGUACAAUAGUUCUAUCCGAUGAUGGUCGCUAUUUUUCAAAGGAUGCUGUGUAAUUUCAAGUUUGAAAACUGCUGGCUUUCAAUCUUUUUAAACAAGUUACCUUUGUAAGCGGAACCACCACGACCACUAGGGGCCACUGCCGCGUUAAAUUAUGGGCUUCAAUCGUUGUCUAAAACGUUCUGUACUCAUGGCAAGUUAUUCUAGGUUUUAUUCCAUAUUCAGAUCAUCCCCAAUUUCGAAAGUUUAGGGAAUUGGUUCAUUUCCGUGUUGCAUGUUUAACAUUCUUCUGUGUGAUGCUGAGUUGAGGCUAUACGAACUGGAAUCGUUGAGGGUAGGCUUGAAUUUGGCCGAAUUUGGAACCAGAAAGACCUUGGACAGAUCCCACCAGAGCACUCUGUUACCCCUUUGUUACAUGAUUUCGUAUAUCCGCUAUAUGCUAUCUCCCGAAUGCUUAUCCACCUACUGCCUAUUACCAUGGAGGCUUACAAUGUUUGAUUAAUUUCUAUGGGCGAUAUCCUCAUAUAAAAAAGAAGUGGAAGCUUUACAGGACAUUAACCAAUCAGUUGAGAUAUUAGUUCGUUUACUUUCUGCCGUCUCUGGUUGGAGUGAGAAAAUGUUUAGGUUCAGCAACAGGUUGCUGAAAUUAUCACUUAUAUAGCCUCCACUGCAAAAUAGUAGUACUUUUGGUUUGCUUACUGUGUCUCCUUCACUGUUUCUAUUUUGUGGAUGUACAAAUAGAUGUCAACCCUAGCAUUUAAUGGUGUUGUUCACUUUGAUAGGUAUAUGUGAACGGCUCGCAGAUAUCAGACCCUUAAAAAUGCCAUGAAGUGCCUUACGGCUUUCUCCUAAUCCAUCAUUGCACUUUCAACUACUGGAUGUCUGAAUGCUGUGUUAUGGUGCAUAUAUCUCUUAUAAUCAUUAGAAUGAAGAUGGGGAUGGCGUCUGCAUAUUGAGGGGCCAAAUAGCAUGAUUGUGGACUGUUUUGGUUCUUUAUUGAACAUUAGGAUGUAAAUAAAUUUUGACAUGGAUUGCACAUUUAACAUAGUUUUAAAACCCGCAGCAUCGCGCGGGUUCAAUUUCUAGUAAUAUCAAAACCCCAAGGUGUAAAACCUAUUUCACUUAGUUCUCUGUUCUCACCCAUUCCGGCCGUCUUCAGCUCCUCUUUGCUUACUCUCUCACCCCAACUCCAACGACCAACCACUGGUGGUUGCCAGCGACAGCGACAACCACUCUCCUUCGUCUUCCUUUCUUGGCCACUCUCCUCUCUCUAACAUAACGGGACCCAAAUUAGGGAAAGAGAGAUUCGGUUUUCUAUCGAGUUCUUCAGGCGACAACAAGGUUCUUGCCUCCAGCAGCCCUCUGCCCGCACAUCCGCACUCAGUAGCCUCUAAUUUGGGAUGAAAACAUACAUAAUUGUUUUAGUUACCACUUCAUACUCUGCAGUCAACCAUGAUCGGUGUUAUUGAAAUCUACUCCCUCAUUGGGUCCGCCAUGGCCGGAAAAACUUCCGACUGGGUCGGCCGCCGCUACACCAUAGUCAUCUCCGGAGCGAUUUUCUUCAUCGGAGCGAUUCUCAUGGGGUUCUCCGCCAACUACACCUUCCUCAUGUGCGGCCGCUUUGUCGCCGGCAUCGGAGUCGGCUACGCCCUCACGAUUGCUCCCGUCUACAGCGCCGAGGUCUCUCCGACGUCGUCUCGCGGCUUCCUCACGUCUUUCCCAGAGGUUGGUACUUGGUACUUCCAACCCUUUUGUUAGCUCAUAUGGGUUAAUCAUGGUAUUUCCAUGUGCUGUUACAAAUAUAUACCGGUAAAGUGGUUUAAUAACUUAAAUAGGUGUUAAUAUGUAUACCUUUUGGUCAAGUGUACUGUAGAAGGGAUAUAUCUUGUGUAUCAACACUUUUUUCUUGCUAUAAUGUUUUCUGUAAGUUAUGCACUUGAACAACAUUUGGGUUACCUAACCGUUUUGUUCGAGUGAAACACUUCUUGAUAUGUCUACUGGAAUGGAUUACAAAAUGAAAAGUGGUGAUGCAGCUGGAGCUUUAAAGAUUGAACCUAUUCAAAGGGCUAGUUUCUUCUACGUUGCCUAUUAUUGAUGCUACAGAUUUUGUAGCAGACAACUCCUAUUCAAUAUUUUUAGUUAUGAUAUUAUCUUGUGCAAGCUACAAUUGGGAUAUAUUGUAGGUUACUGUGGACAUGUUACUGUAAAAACUACCCAUAUUUGAAUUAUAAGAAUUUUU
rnacentral:sRNA from 1 species